UACGGAGGGGGCUAGCGUUGUUCGGAAUUACUGGGCGUAAAGCGCACGUAGGCGGCUUUGUAAGUUAGAGGUGAAAGCCCGGAGCUCAACUCCGGAAUUGCCUUUAAGACUGCAUCGCUUGAAUCAUGGAGAGGUGAGUGGAAUUCCGAGUGUAGAGGUGAAAUGCGUAGAGAUGUGGAGGAACACCAGUGGCGAAGGCGACUUUUUUGGCCUGUAACUGACGCU
rnacentral:rRNA from 1 species